AGGCGAAGAACCUUACGGGCCCGUGACAUCCCGGUCGCGAGUACCAGAGAUGGAACUCUUCAUUUAAGCUGGACCAGAGACAGGUGCUGCAUGGCUGUCGUCAGCUCGUGUCGUGAGAUGUUGGGUUAAGUCCCGCAACGAGCGCAACCCUCGCCCUUAGUUGCCAUCAUUCAGUUGGGCACUCUAAAGGGACUGCCAGUGAUAAGCCGCGAGGAAGGAGGGGAUGACGUCAAGUCCUCAUGGCCCUUACGGGCUGGGCUACACACAUGCUACAAUGGCGGUGACAAUGGGACGCAAUGGGGAAACCCUGCGCAAAUCUCAAAAAGCCGUCUCAGUUCGGAUUGUGCUCUGCAACUCGAGCACAUGAAGUUGGAGUCGCUAGUAAUCACAGAUCAGCACGCUGCGGUGAAUACGUUCCCGGGUCUUGUACACACCG
rnacentral:rRNA from 1 species